CCUACGGGAGGCAGCAGUGGGGAAUUUUGGACAAUGGGCGCAAGCCUGAUCCAGCAAUGCCGCGUGAGUGAAGAAGGCCUUCGGGUUGUAAAGCUCUUUUGUCAGGGAAGAAACGGUCUACUCUAAUACAGUGGGCUAAUGACGGUACCUGAAGAAUAAGCACCGGCUAACUACGUGCCAGCAGCCGCGGUAAUACGUAGGGUGCAAGCGUUAAUCGGAAUUACUGGGCGUAAAGCGUGCGCAGGCGGUUAUAUAAGUCAGAUGUGAAAUCCCCGGGCUCAACCUGGGAACUGCAUUUGAGACUGUAUGGCUAGAGUGUGUCAGAGGGGGGUAGAAUUCCACGUGUAGCAGUGAAAUGCGUAGAUAUGUGGAGGAAUACCGAUGGCGAAGGCAGCCCCCUGGGAUAACACUGACGCUCAUGCACGAAAGCGUGGGGAGCAAACAGGAUUAGAUACCCUGGUAGUCCACGCCCUAAACGAUGUCUACUAGUUGUCGGGACUUAAUUGUCUUGGUAACGCAGCUAACGCGUGAAGUGACCGCCUGGGGGNGGUACGGUCGCGAGAGUAAACGUAACGAAAGAAGUAGAGCGNGAGAGAGACGACGGACGACGACGAGGGAGGAGG
rnacentral:rRNA from 1 species